CCUACGGGCGGCUGCAGUCGAGAAUCUUCGGCAAUGGGCGCAAGCCUGACCGAGCGACGCCGCGUGUGGGAUGAAGGCCCUUGGGUUGUAAACCACUGUCAGAGGGGAUGAAGUGCAUGAGGGCAAUCUCUCAUGCUUGACAUAGCCUCAGAGGAAGCACGGGCUAAGUUCGUGCCAGCAGCCGCGGUAAUACGAACUGUGCGAACGUUAUUCGGAAUCACUGGGCUUACAGGGUGCGUAGGCGGCUUGUCAAGUAGGGUGUGAAAGCCCCCGGCUCAACCGGGGAAUGGCGCCCUAAACUGGCGAGCUAGAGUGAGAUAGGGGUGUGUGGAACUUCCGGUAGAGCGGUGAAAUGUGUUGAUAUCGGAAGGAACGCCGGUGGCGAAAGCGACACACUGGAUCUUGUCUGACGCUGAGGCACGAAAGCCAGGGGAGCGAAC
rnacentral:rRNA from 1 species